rnacentral:rRNA from 1 species
GACGAACGCUGGCGGCGUGCUUAACACAUGCAAGUCGAACGGAAAGGCCCUGCUUUUGUGGGGUGCUCGAGUGGCGAACGGGUGAGUAACACGUGGGUAACCUGCCCUUUACUUUGGGAUAACUUCAGGAAACUGGGGCUAAUACCGGAUAGGAGCUCCUGCUGCAUGGUGGGGGUUGGAAAGUUUCGGCGGUUGGGGAUGGACUCGCGGCUUAUCAGCUUGUUGGUGGGGUAGUGGCUUACCAAGGCUUUGACGGGUAGCCGGCCUGAGAGGGUGACCGGCCACAUUGGGACUGAGAUACGGCCCAGACUCCUACGGGAGGCAGCAGUGGGGAAUAUUGCACAAUGGGCGGAAGCCUGAUGCAGCAACGCCGCGUGCGGGAUGACGGCCUUCGGGUUGUAAACCGCUUUCGCCUGUGACGAAGCGUGAGUGACGGUAAUGGGUAAAGAAGCACCGGCUAACUACGUG